GAACGAGAAAGGGGAAGCAAUCCCUGAGUACAGUGGCGUACGGGUGAGUAGCACGUGGAUCAUCUAUCUCUUAGUGGGGAAUAACCCUGGGAAACCGGGGAUAAUACCGCAUAAGCUCGAGAGAGGAAAGCAGCAAUGCGCUGAGAGAGGAGUCCGCGGCCGAUUAGCUAGUUGGCAGGGUAAAAGCCUACCAAGGCAGAGAUCGGUAGCCGGCCUGAGAGGGCACACGGCCACACUGGCACUGAAACACGGGCCAGACUCCUACGGGAGGCAGCAGUGGGGAAUCUUGCACAAUGGGGGAAACCCUGAUGCAGCGACGCCGCGUGAGCGAUGAAGCCCUUCGGGGUGUAAAGCUCUUUCGGCAGGGAAGAUAAUGACGGUACCUGCAGAAGCAGCUGCGGCUAACUACGUGCCAGCAGCCGCGGUAAUACGUAGGCAGCGAGCGUUGUUUGGAGUUACUGGGCGUAAAGGGUGUGUAGGCGGUUGUUUAAGUUUGGUGUGAAAUCUCCCGGCUCAACUGGGAGGGUGCGCCGAAUACUGAAUGACUUCGAGUGCGGGAGAGGAGAGUGGAAUUCCUGGUGUAGCGGUGAAAUGCGUAGAUAUCAGGAGGAACACCGGUGGGUGUAGACGGCUCUCUGGACCGUAACUGACGCUGAGACACGAAAGCGUGGGUAGCAAACAGGAUUAGAUACCCUGGUAGUCCACGCCCUAACGAUGCAUAUUUGGUGUGGGCAGUUCAUUCUGUCCGUGCC
rnacentral:rRNA from 1 species